rnacentral:rRNA from 1 species
UUGACGGGGCCGCACAAGCGGUGGAGCAUGUGGUUAAUUCGAAGCAACGCGAAGAACCUUACCAGGUCUUGACAUCCCCUGACAACCGAGAGAUCGGGCGUUCCCCUUCGGGGGACAGGGUGACAGGUGGUGCAUGGUUGUCGUCAGCUCGUGUCGUGAGAUGUUGGGUUAAGUCCCGCAACGAGCGCAACCCUCGCCUCUAGUUGCCAGCAUUCGGUUGGGCACUCUAGAGGGACUGCCGGCGACAAGUCGGAGGAAGGUGGGGAUGACGUCAAAUCAUCAUGCCCCUUAUGACCUGGGCUACACACGUGCUACAAUGGGCGGUACAAAGGGCUGCGAACCCGCGAGGGGGAGCGAAUCCCAAAAAGCCGCUCUCAGUUCGGAUUGCAGGCUGCAACUCGCCUGCAUGAAGCCGGAAUCGCUAGUAAUCGCGGAUCAGCAUGCCGCGGUGAAUACGUUCCCGGGCCUU